rnacentral:rRNA from 1 species
CCCCUAGUAACGGGGAAGGAAGCGGCCACAACUUAAAUUUGAAAGGUGGCUUCCGCCCGCAUUGUUAUUUGCAGGGGAUUCUUUUGGCGAGGUUCCUUUCGAAUUUCCUGGAACGGGACCCCCCCGAGGGUGAAAACCCCGUACGGAAGGACACCGAGCCUGUGUAAAGCUCCUUCAACGAGUCGAGUAGUUUGGGAAUGCUGCUCAAAAUGGGAGGUAAAUCUCUUCUAAAGCUAAAUACCGGCCAGAGACCGAUAGCGCACAAGUAGAGUGAUCGAAAGAUGAAAAGCACCUUGAAAAGGGGGUUAAACAGUACGUGAAAUUGUUGAAAGGGAAGCGUUUGUGACCAGACUUGCGCCGGGCGGCUCAUCAGGGGUUCUCCCCUGUGCACUCCGCCCGGCUCAGGCCAGCAUCGGUUCUCGUGGGCGGACAAGAGCGGCGGGAAUGUGGCCCCCCCUCGGGGGGGUGUUAUAGCCCGCCGCACGAUACGCCCGCGGGGACCGAGGUUCGCGCUCCGCAAGGAUGCUGGCGUAAUGGUCACCAACGACCCGUCUUGAAACACGGACCAAGGAGUCGUCCAUUAGAGCGAGCGUUUGGGUGUCAAACCCGCACGCGUAAUGAAAGUGAACGCAGGUGAGAGCUUCGGCGCAUCAUCGACCGAUCCUGAUGUCCUCGGAUGGAUUUGAGUAAGAGUUUUAACGGACGGACCCGAAAGACAGUGAACUAUGCUUGUAUAGGGUGAAGCCAGAGGAAACUCUGGUGGAGGCUCGCAGCGGUUCUGACGUGCAAAUCGAUCGUCAAAUAUGAGCA